CCCUUAGAUGUUCUGGGCCGCACGCGCGCUACACUGAUGCAUUCAACGAGUUUCUUCCUGGUCCGAGAGGAAUGGGUAACCUUUUGAAAGUGCAUCGUGAUAGGGAUAGACUAUUGCAAUUAUUGGUCUUCAACGAGGAAUUCCUAGUAGACGUAGUUCAUCAGACUGCAUCGAUUACGUCCCUGCCCUUUGUACACACCGCCCGUCGCUCCUACCGAUUGAAUGCUCAGGUGAGCCAUUCGGACUUUCAUCAUGCUGGCUUCCAGUUUUGAUGAAGGAAAGUCUUGCGAACCCUAUCAUUUAGAGGAAGGAGAAGUCGUAACA
rnacentral:rRNA from 1 species